rnacentral:tRNA from 1 species
UCCCUGGCUGUCCAGUGGGUAAGACGCUGCACUCCCAAUGUAGGGGGCACAGGUUUGAUCCCUGGUUGGGGAA